rnacentral:misc_RNA from 1 species
AAGUCGUAACAAGGUCUCCGUAGGUGAACCUGCGGAGGGAUCAUUAACACGUUUUUCUAAACGUUUCCAACCAACCCGUGAACUUUUUAAAUAUAACCCCGACCUGAGAGUUGAGAGAAUCCUGCUUUUCUGUACUUAGUGAUGAGUGUUUGGGCGCAAGCCCAAAUGCGAGUACAUUCAAGCUGGGAGAGCAGUUUAUUAUCUAUGCUUGCAUACAAUGGCUGACUUUCCAAGGCCUCUCUUCUUUCGGGCUAACUUAUCCAUUACUCUCCCUUCAUUCACUGGAGGUAAUGGAAAACCAAACCACUUUCACCCCUUUAUAACCACUUGACUGAUAACGUUUUGAUAUCUAACGGUAUUAAAAUCCAAUAUAAUCAAAUAUCUAAAGCACAACUCUUAGCAACGGAUAUCUUGGUUCUC